rnacentral:tRNA from 1 species
UAGAUGAAUGCUCGCUGGUUUGAGCGAUUAGCUGUUAAGUAAGCAUUUGUAGGAUCGAGGCCUUCUCAUCUAG